GAUGAACGCUGGCGGCGUGCCUAAUACAUGCAAGUCGAGCGAACAGAUAAGGAGCUUGCUCCUUUGACGUUAGCGGCUGACGGGUGAGUAACACGUGGAUAACCUACCUAUAAGACUGGGAUAACUUCGGGAAACCGGAGCUAAUACCGGAUAACAUAUUGAACCGCAUGGUUCAAUAGUGAAAGGCGGCUUUGCUGUCACUUAUAGAUGGAUCCGCGCCGUAUUAGCUAGUUGGUAAGGUAACGGCUUACCAAGGCAACGAUACGUAGCCGACCUGAGAGGGUGAUCGGCCACACUGGAACUGAGACACGGUCCAGACUCCUACGGGAGGCAGCAGUAGGGAAUCUUCCGCAAUGGGCGAAAGCCUGACGGAGCAACGCCGCGUGAGUGAUGAAGGUCUUCGGAUCGUAAAACUCUGUUAUCAGGGAAGAACAAAUGUGUAAGUAACUGUGCACAUCUUGACGGUACCUGAUCAGAAAGCCACGGCUAACUACGUG
rnacentral:rRNA from 1 species